rnacentral:rRNA from 1 species
AACGACUCUCGGCAACGGAUAUCUCGGCUCUCGCAUCGAUGAAGAACGUAGCGAAAUGCGAUACUUGGUGUGAAUUGCAGAAUCCCGUGAACCAUCGAGUCCUUGAACGCAAGUUGCGCCCGAAGCCUUCCGGCCGAGGGCACGUCUGCCUGGGCGUCACGC